UCGAUUUUUGUUCAUGUGUGUGAGUUGAUUCUCGUUUGAGAGUCCUCUUAAUUGAAGGAAACGACAUAAUUACUACACGUAUAUGUGAAAUACAAUAAUGCUAUGCAAUAAAACUCGAAAUGAUUAUUUAUUCCUAUUACACAUCUUCUAAUUCUCUAAAAUUACUAAAACACUCCUAUCUCUUAAAAUUACAAAACACCCUUGAAACAUAAAUUAUCAAAUUACCCUGAAGUGGCGAAUUGCUAAACUGCCCUCAAUCUAAUUACCAAAUUGUCUACUAAGAUAUGAAUUUAUGAAAUUACCCUCGGAGUAUGAAAUUAUCAAAAUGCCUUAAAAGACUUAAAUUACCAAAUUACCCCAAAAUCUAGAUUAACUAACUGCCCUUAGUCUGAAAUUACUAAAUUAUCCACCAAUAUGUGAAAUUACCGAAAUGCCCGUAGUUCAGUCAAUGGUGGUCGGGAAACUCAGAUCUGAUAGUGCGGACCACGUUGAGGUCGAUGGCGCCAGCGGUGACGAUUCACGCUCGGAAGCGACGACGAAUCGAGCUUAAAAAAACGUGAACUUCCGGCGGCCGACCGGCGGCUAAACGACCGUUUCAGGUGACGGGACCCGUCUGAAAAUGAUGAGGGUGAGCUGAGGAGAAAGAUCCAGGCGGUGACGAGGCCUAAUUCCGGCGAGAUCGAAGGUAUGGUGAUGGGUUUUAGCCGCAAUUUUCGUGCUUCAAACGCGACGCUCCGUCCGGUUUCUGGCGAUGAUGACGGGUCGACCCGGUUCAUCUCUCUCUCCCGUUUUAUAACGGACACCCUUUUUUUCCUAAAACUUUAUACAAAUUAAGCUAAUAAUCAUGUUCUUGAUUCGUGUCAUGACGGGAUUAAACGGAUUCGAACACAACCCACUUAUUAAACACGCAAAAUUUAAUUAUUCAUAUCCAUAAUUAAUGUCAGAUAAUUGAGUUACAUCAACUUCGUUGGUAACAAUUUGU
rnacentral:lncRNA from 1 species